rnacentral:rRNA from 1 species
GGGUUGUGAGGUUAAGCGACUAAGCGUACACGGUGGAUGCCCUGGCAGUCAGAGGCGAUGAAGGACGUGCUAAUCUGCGAUAAGCGUCGGUAAGGUGAUAUGAACCGUUAUAACCGGCGAUUUCCGAAUGGGGAAACCCAGUGUGUUUCGACACACUAUCAUUAACUGAAUCCAUAGGUUAAUGAGGCGAACCGGGGGAACUGAAACAUCUAAGUACCCCGAGGAAAAGAAAUCAACCGAGAUUCCCCCAGUAGCGGCGAGCGAACGGGGAGCAGCCCAGAGCCUGAAUCAGUGUGUGUGUUAGUGGAAGCGUCUGGAAAGGCGCGCGAUACAGGGUGACAGCCCCGUACACAAAAAUGCACAUGCUGUGAGCUCGAUGAGUAGGGCGGGACACGUGGUAUCCUGUCUGAAUAUGGGGGGACCAUCCUCCAAGGCUAAAUACUCCUGACUGACCGAUAGUGAACCAGUACCGUGAGGGAAAGGCGAAAAGAACCCCGGCGAGGGGAGUGAAAAAGAACCUGAAACCGUGUACGUACAAGCAGUGGGAGCACGCUUAGGCGUGUGACUGCGUACCUUUUGUAUAAUGGGUCAGCGACUUAUAUUCUGUAGCAAGGUUAACCGAAUAGGGGAGCCGAAGGGAAACCGAGUCUUAACUGGGCGUUAAGUUGCAGGGUAUAGACCCGAAACCCGGUGAUCUAGCCAUGGGCAGGUUGAAGGUUGGGUAACACUAACUGGAGGACCGAACCGACUAAUGUUGAAAAAUUAGCGGAUGACUUGUGGCUGGGGGUGAAAGGCCAAUCAAACCGGGAGAUAGCUGGUUCUCCCCGAAAGCUAUUUAGGUAGCGCCUCGUGAAUUCAUCUCCGGGGGUAGAGCACUGUUUCGGCAAGGGGGUCAUCCCGACUUACCAACCCGAUGCAAACUGCGAAUACCGGAGAAUGUUAUCACGGGAGACACACGGCGGGUGCUAACGUCCGUCGUGAAGAGGGAAACAACCCAGACCGCCAGCUAAGGUCCCAAAGUCAUGGUUAAGUGGGAAACGAUGUGGGAAGGCCCAGACAGCCAGGAUGUUGGCUUAGAAGCAGCCAUCAUUUAAAGAAAGCGUAAUAGCUCACUGGUCGAGUCGGCCUGCGCGGAAGAUGUAACGGGGCUAAACCAUGCACCGAAGCUGCGGCAGCGACGCUUAUGCGUUGUUGGGUAGGGGAGCGUUCUGUAAGCCUGUGAAGGUGUGCUGUGAGGCAUGCUGGAGGUAUCAGAAGUGCGAAUGCUGACAUAAGUAACGAUAAAGCGGGUGAAAAGCCCGCUCGCCGGAAGACCAAGGGUUCCUGUCCAACGUUAAUCGGGGCAGGGUGAGUCGACCCCUAAGGCGAGGCCGAAAGGCGUAGUCGAUGGGAAACAGGUUAAUAUUCCUGUACUUGGUGUUACUGCGAAGGGGGGACGGAGAAGGCUAUGUUGGCCGGGCGACGGUUGUCCCGGUUUAAGCGUGUAGGCUGGUUUUCCAGGCAAAUCCGGAAAAUCAAGGCUGAGGCGUGAUGACGAGGCACUACGGUGCUGAAGCAACAAAUGCCCUGCUUCCAGGAAAAGCCUCUAAGCAUCAGGUAACAUCAAAUCGUACCCCAAACCGACACAGGUGGUCAGGUAGAGAAUACCAAGGCGCUUGAGAGAACUCGGGUGAAGGAACUAGGCAAAAUGGUGCCGUAACUUCGGGAGAAGGCACGCUGAUAUGUAGGUGAAGUCCCUUGCGGAUGGAGCUGAAAUCAGUCGAAGAUACCAGCUGGCUGCAACUGUUUAUUAAAAACACAGCACUGUGCAAACACGAAAGUGGACGUAUACGGUGUGACGCCUGCCCGGUGCCGGAAGGUUAAUUGAUGGGGUCAGCGCAAGCGAAGCUCUUGAUCGAAGCCCCGGUAAACGGCGGCCGUAACUAUAACGGUCCUAAGGUAGCGAAAUUCCUUGUCGGGUAAGUUCCGACCUGCACGAAUGGCGUAAUGAUGGCCAGGCUGUCUCCACCCGAGACUCAGUGAAAUUGAACUCGCUGUGAAGAUGCAGUGUACCCGCGGCAAGACGGAAAGACCCCGUGAACCUUUACUAUAGCUUGACACUGAACAUUGAGCCUUGAUGUGUAGGAUAGGUGGGAGGCUUGGAAGUGUGGACGCCAGUCUGCAUGGAGCCGACCUUGAAAUACCACCCUUUAAUGUUUGAUGUUCUAACGUUGACCCGUAAUCCGGGUUGCGGACAGUGUCUGGUGGGUAGUUUGACUGGGGCGGUCUCCUCCUAAAGAGUAACGGAGGAGCACGAAGGUUGGCUAAUCCUGGUCGGACAUCAGGAGGUUAGUGCAAUGGCAUAAGCCAGCUUGACUGCGAGCGUGACGGCGCGAGCAGGUGCGAAAGCAGGUCAUAGUGAUCCGGUGGUUCUGAAUGGAAGGGCCAUCGCUCAACGGAUAAAAGGUACUCCGGGGAUAACAGGCUGAUACCGCCCAAGAGUUCAUAUCGACGGCGGUGUUUGGCACCUCGAUGUCGGCUCAUCACAUCCUGGGGCUGAAGUAGGUCCCAAGGGUAUGGCUGUUCGCCAUUUAAAGUGGUACGCGAGCUGGGUUUAGAACGUCGUGAGACAGUUCGGUCCCUAUCUGCCGUGGGCGCUGGAGAACUGAGGGGGGCUGCUCCUAGUACGAGAGGACCGGAGUGGACGCAUCACUGGUGUUCGGGUUGUCAUGCCAAUGGCACUGCCCGGUAGCUAAAUGCGGAAGAGAUAAGUGCUGAAAGCAUCUAAGCACGAAACUUGCCCCGAGAUGAGUUCUCCCUGACUCCUUGAGAGUCCUGAAGGAACGUUGAAGACGACGACGUUGAUAGGCCGGGUGUGUAAGCGCAGCGAUGCGUUGAGCUAACCGGUACUAAUGAACCGUGAGGCUUAACCUUACAACGCCGAAGGUGUUU